rnacentral:rRNA from 1 species
ACUCAAAGGAAUUGACGGGGGCCCGCACAAGCAGCGGAGCGUGUGGUUUAAUUCGAUGCAACGCGCAGAACCUUACCUAGGCUUGACAUGCAUGUGGUACCAAACCGAAAGGUGAGGGACCCGCAAGGGAGCAUGCACAGAUGCUGCAUGGCUGUCGUCAGCUCGUGCCGUGAGGUGUUGGGUUAAGUCCCGCAACGAGCGCAACCCUUGCUGCCAGUUACUAUGUCUGGCGGGACCGCCGGUACAAACCGGAGGAAGGUGGGGAUGACGUCAAGUCAGCACGGCUCUUACGUCUAGGGCUACACACACGCUACAAUGGCCGGUACAAAGGGCGGCAAUGGGGCGACCCGGAGCAAAUCCCAUCAAAGCCGGUCUCAGUUCGGAUUGCAGGCUGCAACUCGCCUGCAUGAAGUCGGAGUUGCUAGUAACCGCAGGUCAGCACACUGCGGUGAAUACGUUCCCGGGCCUUGUACACACCGCCCGU